CUUCUGAAAGCAGAAAGAAGGAAGAAAAUGCCCAUAGGCUUUAAUCACAUCAUUUCUGCUCAGUGGCUAGAAAUCAGCCAACCUUGCUGCAAGGCACACUAGAAAUGUCACCUCCCUGGGUGCUCAGAAAGAAGAGAACAUAAAUUAUGCUUCACAUUCUCCUCCGCCAGAAAAUACUCAGCACUAAAGGGAAGAGAUGAGGAGAAAACGUUGGCCAGAGCGCUUGUGAUUGCCAGAAAUCACCCACGGCUGACAGCAGACAUGCCCCUCUCCCAAGGAAUGGGAAUCCACCCUGGAGAAAAGAACACAAAGAACAGAGGCAAGAUGUGCUUCCAGACUUGCCAGCUCACUGCAAGGCUGAACUGUGAGUACUUUAAAAACAUCUUGUUAUUACUACGGCCCAUUUAGUCCACUCUAUAAAUACAACUCUUCUAUAUCACAUUUCAUGUUUCAAAACAGAGUCGUGGGGCUUCAGAAGGUGAGCUCCAUCUCAUGGGAUUCUUACAAAGUAAAGAAAUCAAAGCUUUCUCAAUGCAUCUGAAAUGUGAAGGCAUUUUAGAGUGUUAAGCUCUGUGAGAUCAGAGGUUGUCAGUCCCAUUCACUGUUGC